CAUUCUCUCUCAUCUCUCUCACAACUCACAUCUCACCAGUCACUCUCUCUCUCUCUCUGGCGAUUCCAGAUCCAGAUCUGGAUCUAGGGUUUCUCUGCUAUCUCUCUUGCGAUCCAAGCUAAUCAGAUCCGUCUUCCAUCUGUUCUCUCUCUCGCACGAUCCAAGCGAUUCAGAUCCAAGAGAUUCAGAUCUAGGUGCUGUGUGUGCGAUUCAGGGUUUAAGCAUGUUUAAAACUAGGGUUUCAGGAGAUCGUGAGAUGAGGAAAAGCGGGGAUUUCACCAGAUCUAGGGUGUUACUUUCAUUUGAUUUCGAAUCCAUGACCCCAUCCCGUGACACUGUGGUGUGCAGAUGGAUCCCUAGCCGUCGCAUCUGGUGAACCCGCACAUAAUAACUCUUUUGACUUGUUUUCUAACCUGACUUUCGGCUCAUCUUUCCUAAAUCGUUAUCUUUAUGUUUAUUGUUUUCCGCCCAGAACUGGCAGCACGGUGGCGGUGGAGUGAGGAAACAGUCAAACAAAAGAGACACAAGUGGAGGAGUGGAAUAUUGACGCUUGGUAAUCGAGUGAUGAUUUUAAGAUGAAGAAUUGAGUAUUAUGGUCUUUGGGAUGAAGUUGUCAUAGGUUUGAGUUUUACAGCGCAAAAUAUCAUCUGCAAACCACUUUUUUGCUGAGAUGUCUCGUAAGGAUUUACACCAAUAUGACGUGAGUUUUAAUCUUUCGAUGUUGCAACCUGCAAGUCUUCUUUAUGUAUUUUAACUUAUUACCUGAGGUGGGAUGAUGAACCGACCGGGCGGGUCAGGUGACAUAUCAUUAUAUCAAAAUGGUUAUUGUUGGUCAAACAAGGUCAGCUAUCAUUUUGACCUUUGGUAUUUGAGUUAACUGUCUGUGGUAUGGGUCAAAAGUAGUUGUGGGUUAAAUCUAUCGUAUGGGCCAAAAGCAAUUCUAUUUUCACUAACAUGUUAAUUAAAUAUUUUUUUAGAAGAAAUAAGUUAUAAAUAAACUUUGGAUAACUUUCAGCCAACUUUUAAACGAUUUCUCUUCAGCUGAAUACUGAAUAUUAUAGGCACAAAUUGCAAUAUGAAAGUACUGUACUUAUGUGUUUGUAGCUUAGAUUGAUAGGUAUUGAGCAUAUGUGUAUCUGUUUGUUUUUUACACUAAGGGUAUUUUAGACAUUUAAUAGUUUUUGCAUAUGUGUAUAUGUUUGUUUUACAUGAAUGUUUUAUUUGAAGCUGGGGGGAGGGGGUAUGGUUAAGAAUUCGCUGCUUGCUGGUUCACAUAAAUGGAUAGAUUUAGUGGUAACAGACCCAAGAUUCUUGAUUCGGCUUUUCUUAGACCGGGGCGGUUUGACCGACAGGUUGGUUAAAAAAACAAGACAAACAUUCCCACAACAAAAGAUUUGGUUUGAAUUCUAAGGUCAUUUGGUGGUUAGCAAUAUGAUUACUAAUGGGUCAAAUGGGUUUACUUUAAAAUCUUAGUUAAAACUGAAACGAGUCAGGUUGAUAAAAGUGACCCGAAGUACCUUUACAUGCUUACAGCCUCUUGGUCUAGAUGAUAAUGUGGCAGCUGGGUUGGGUAACGGGUCAACACCCUAUAUGAUAAUGUUGUCAAUUGGUAUUAAGCUUUCCAUAGAAGAUUUCGCUCUUGCUUUCAAAAGGUCACUCUAUAUUUGCGCUAUUACUCACCUGCGUUUCGGUUAAUUCAAAAUGCAUGUAAUUAACAUCCAAAUAUAAGACGGGUUUUAGAUUUUUAUCGUGAUCUUAUCAUAUUUGCAGGCCUUUACCAUUAUCCAUGGGGUUUCUAGCCCAAUACGCAUUAAAACCGGUUCUUGGUGUAUUCGUGGCUAGAUUAUUCGGUGUAGCUCCCAUGUUCUAUGCAGGAUUUGUGUUAAUGGCGUGUGUUUCGAGUGCACAGUUGUCUAGCUACGGUAGCUUCUUGAGCAAAGGGGAUGUAGCUUUGAAAAAUGGCUGCAAUGGCGUCUCACCAAUCUUUGCUACCCGUCAAUCUCGCGCGCAGGUGACUGCUAUGCGUGCCUUGACCCAACAUCGCCGCAAAAAAGGUACCUAUUGUUCGGGUGCUAUUGGGCCAAACAGUUUAUCAUCGCGUGUUCUUCAACUGUGAUUGCGGGCUCCGUCGCUUCAUACUUAGACGACUAUUCCGUUUCUUCUGGUUUAUUCGUCAAUGAAGCUACUCAUGCGCUAUAGCCUUGGCUCGGUGGCUAUUGGUUCCUUGAUUGUAUCGUUUGUUGAGUCGACUCGGUUUAUACUCGAGGCUGUUCGCCGGAGACUUAAAGUUGCUGACAUCAUGCCCGAAAACGGGAUUAAAAGUUUGUCUUUAUUGCUGAUGACAAAAGAAAAAUAACUGCUACAACUUGGGUACCCAUACUUGCAAUUAGAAUUUACGUCGUGGUCACAUACGAAAGGUUAAAAGGAUAGG